AUCCUGGCUCAGGAUGAACGCUGACGAGAUGCCUUACACAUGCAAGUCAUACGAGAAUUUUUAAUUCAAGUGGCGGACGGGUGAGUAACACGUAAGAAUUUGCCUUUAGGAGGGGGACAACAACUGGAAACGGUUGCUAAUACCCCAUAUGCUUUCGAGUGAAACGGAAUUUUCCGCCUAAAGAGAAGCUUGCGGCUGAUUAGCUUGUUGGUGAGGUAAUGACUUACCAAGGCGACGAUCAGUAUCUGGUUUGAGAGGAUGAUCAGACACACUGGAACUGAGACACGGUCCAGACUCCUACGGGAGGCAGCAGUGGGGAAUUUUCCGCUAUGGGCGAAAGCCUGACGGAGCAAUCUCGCGUGAGGGAUGACGGCCUAUGGGUUGUAAACCUCUUUUUUCAGGGAGGAAUAAAUGACGUGUACCUGAAGAAUAGGCAUCGGCUAACUCCGUGCCAGCAGCCGCGGUAAAACGGAGGAUGCAAGUGUUAUCCGGAAUCACUGGGCGUAAAGCGUCUGUAGGUGGUUUGAUAAGUCAACUGUUAAAUCUUGAAGCUCAACUUCAAAAUCGCAGUCGAAACUAUCAGACUAGAGUAUAGUAGGGGUAAAGGGAAUU
rnacentral:rRNA from 1 species